CAGAAGAUGAGAAAGCUUCGCUCACCCACAGCGUCGCUGAGUUGUCUCUUCAGCUCCUCGUUGGUACUCUGCAGUGUUACCAUUCGUCUCAUCAAGCUCUCUCCUGAGCCUUCAGCUGUCUCUCCCAAGAGCUCUGAUACGGCUUCAACAUACUUUCUGCCAGCACAAAGCCGUUCCGAAGCAUCGAAAUGGGUGAAAUGGCAAUUCUUCACAUCCAUUGUACUUGUUCUGCAAUGCUCCCCGUUCCUAUUAACGUGGACAGAUUUUCUGCUUGGUAACUCACUUGACAGGGGCCAGUUUCCGUGCCGCAUGCUGAACGCGGCGACAGUGGGCCUCCAUCUGGGCAGCUCUCGCGCUCAAGAGGGCGAUCUUUUCUUCCGCUUGCCGAAUGGUCAACAUGUUCGUUGUAGAUACUUUCGAGCUCUCUUGUGCCUUCUCAAUGUUCCGUUGUAGGAGCCGGCUACGAGCCAAAAUCAGCUGAACGACGAAACAACGACCGACAGUGCAUCCAUGCGACCAAGGAAGUCGGCCUUCGUCUUGGUAAGCAGCCGCUGGACGUUGUCGAACUCCCGCUCCUUGACAGACACGAGGAAAGCAAAUGAUUCUCCAGCUGCGCAGUGGCAUUGAAGAGCGACACCGCUGGUCUCCGGUUUGCGGGGAAUGAGAUGCAAGUUGGCCCGACAAGAAAUGACAGUGGACGAAGCACCUGCAUCGGCGGCGCUACUGCCCGCAACUGCACAGCAUGUCUGCUGUCAAUUCAGCUUAGAAAAGGGUUUAGAAGACGGAAAGGAGACGUCUUAUUCUCACAUCUCACGGACUGCACGGACGAAUGUAUUAUCUUGAAGCUGACGUUUUACGCUGAUGCCGCCACGAGUUGGGUUGUCUUCCGGGGACAUACCCAUGGAAGUCAGCUUUUACUUUAGGCUAACAAAUGUUUCUUCGUGUGGAGUGCUCCGAAGGGCCACACCCCGGCACUAUCCAAAACAAUCUCCGACUGAUUUGAGAACAAUUUCGAGAACACACUAGACGCGCAUGAAGGCAGUAAAAGUGCUGCUUCAAGGGGCAAAAAUCUAGAGGUCAAAUGCAGCGGUUGUUGCAGGCUCCUACAGGGAAACUCGCAUGUACGACUGUUUUUGCGUGCGGUGCUCACAGAAAGUACCGAGCCCAGAAAUAACGUUGCAACUACAGAGAAGAGACAGUCAUACACGCUGAUUUCAACUCGGUGGCUGUAAGGGUCAAGAGCGUAUUAUGUGAAAAUUCAGUCAGUAGAGAGGUUGAACCUACGGAAACACAGGAUAGACGAAUGGAGUUAUACCAAAACUGGAGCAUCAGAAAAUCGUAGAUGCAUGCCCCGUAAGAAUUAGUUUUCAGUUGGGUUUAGGAUCGGAAAGCAAUACCUUUGAGCAUUUCCAGUUUUGCUUUCAUUGCUUCGAUGUUCCUGUCGAGUUUCGUCUUUUUCACUGCUGUUCGGCACUCCCCAUCAGGCGUGCUGCUGCCAGGUGAGGAGAGUGUUGCUUCGCUUGCUGAUGGUCUGAUGAUAGCCCAAGAAGUGUUUUGAACAUUCCAUUUUGCCACCGUCGCAAGCCUUGGCGACGACACGUCUUCAGUUGCCCCUCCAUGAGGCUGCGUGAGGAACGCAGGAGCGAAGUCUUCGUGGUGCCCUCCCAGUUCUGUGGCUGACUGUGAUGUCUGAAGUCUACAAGGGAUAUGCAUUGACAGC
rnacentral:lncRNA from 1 species